CAGCCGCCGCGGUAAUACGAAGGGGGCUAGCGUUGCUCGGAAUCACUGGGCGUAAAGGGUGCGUAGGCGGGUUUUUAAGUCAGAGGUGAAAUCCUGGAGCUCAACUCCAGAACUGCCUUUGAUACUGAAAGUCUUGAGUUCGGGAGAGGUGAGUGGAACUGCGAGUGUAGAGGUGAAAUUCGUAGAUAUUGGAAAGAACACCGGUGGCGAAGGCGGCGACCUGGCCUUUAACUGACGCUGAGGCGCGAAAGCGUGGGGAGCAAACAGGAUUAGAUACCCCCGUAGUCCCUGUCUCUUAUAC
rnacentral:rRNA from 1 species